AAAUUUCUUCAACAUUUUUUUGAGAGGAUUAAUAUUCAACAGCAUAGUGAAUUGCUCUAAGAGAAAACAAAAAUUUUAAGUUCAUUAGAACACAUUCAUUCUGUGUCAGAAACCUAUGCUGUGUCAACUAUUUAAUCACAAUCCAAAUUUAGAGCUGAAUCCAGCUUGAAUGUUGUGUCCAUACUUGCCCCAACCGUUCAGUGUUCAACCUCUGCGGUCGUAUAAAGCUGCGCCCUGCGGAGCAUCUGGUUUCUUCAUGCUUGAAGAUAU
rnacentral:lncRNA from 1 species